CCUACGGGAGGCAGCAGUGGGGAAUAUUGGACAAUGGGCGAAAGCCUGAUCCAGCAAUGCCGCGUGAGUGAUGAAGGCCUUCGGGUCGUAAAGCUCUUUUUACCAGGGAUGAUAAUGACAGUACCUGGAGAAUAAGCUCCGGCUAACUCCGUGCCAGCAGCCGCGGUAAUACGGAGGGAGCUAGCGUUGUUCGGAAUUACUGGGCGUAAAGAGUACGUAGGCGGUUAUUCAAGUCAGAGGUGAAAGCCCGGGGCUCAACCCCGGAACUGCCUUUGAAACUAGAUAGCUAGAGUCUUGGAGAGGUUAGUGGAAUUCCGAGUGUAGAGGUAAAAUUCGUAGAUAUUCGGAAGAACACCAGUGGCGAAGGCGACUAACUGGACAAGUACUGACGCUGAGGUACGAAAGCGUGGGGAGCAAACAGGAUUAGAUACCCUGGUAGUCCACGCCGUAAACGAUGAUAACUAGUUGUUCGGUCACUUGGUGACUGAGUGACGCAGCUAACGCAUUAAGUUAUCCGCCUGGGGAUACGGUCGCAAGAUUAAAACUCAAAGAUAGUAGGACGNGNGAGAGCGACGACGACGACGAGGAGGAGAG
rnacentral:rRNA from 1 species